rnacentral:rRNA from 1 species
UGUUAGGGCACGACACCGGAGAGGGAGCCUGAGAAACGGCUACCACAUCCAAGGAAGGCAGCAGGCGCGCAAAUUACCCAAUCCCGACACGGGGAGGUAGUGACAAUAAAUAACAAUACAGGGUUCUUUUGGAUCUUGUAAUUGGAAUGAGUACAAUUUAAAUCUCUUAACGAGGAACAAUUGGAGGGCAAGUCUGGUGCCAGCAGCCGCGGUAAUUCCAGCUCCAAUAGCGUAUAUUAAAGUUGUUGCAGUUAAAAAGCUCGUAGUUGAAUUUCGGGAUCAAUAUUUCGGUCAUGCCGUUGGUAUGCACUGUUAUCAUUGAUUUCUCACCUUCUAAAGAACCGUAAUGCCAUUAAUUUGGUGUUACGGGGAAUUAGGACUGUUACCUUGAAAAAAUUAGAGUGUUUAAAGCAGGCUCACGCUUGAAUACAUUAGCAUGGAAUAAUGAAAUAGGACAUCCGAUUCUAUUUUGUUGGUUUCUAGGAUCGAUGUAAUGAUUAAUAGGGAUAGUUGGGGGCAUUAGUAUUCAAUUGUCAGAGGUGAAAUUCUUGGAUUUAUUGAAGACUAACUACUGCGAAAGCAUUUGCCAAGGAUGUUUUCAUUAAUCAAGAACGAAAGUUAGGGGAUCGAAGACGAUCAGAUACCGUCGUAGUCUUAACCAUAAACUAUGCCGACUAGGGAUCGGAUGAUGUUA